ensembl:lncRNA
UGAAGAUCCAAUGAGAUAAUGUUUGCAAGCAUUUAGCACAGUGGGUGGAACAUAGCAGGUGCUCGAUGAAUGCUUACUGGAGAAGGAAAUGGCAAAUCACUACAGCAUCUUUGCCAAGUAAAUCCUAGACAGGUCAAAAGAGUCAGACAUGACUAAAUGACUAAACAACGCUGGGCCCUCUUACAAAAUGCCAUGGUUGGAGAGAAAACAUCUUCCUUCCUCACGAUCCCCUCCUACUUGAAAGGCUUGAUUUUCUACAGAGGUUUAACUUUUUAAAAGCCAGAGGUGCCCGAGUUAAUCUUUCACCAACCCAGGGCCAGCUGCCCUUUUAAUUACAUCAGGAAGAACUGCUUCACCCUUCACUUUAUGAAUAACAAGAGACCUCUUUGCAUUGGUUUUUGACAUAUUAAUACUUCAUUACCACUGUUAUCUGACCCUUAAUUUCCAUGAUUUAUAUCACCUGAGCUUGAGGGUGAGGAAUCAAGUCUCUCCCUUCACCUCAUACCACCUGGGAAAAGUGCUCUGUCAACUUGGAAACACUAUGUAAAGGGAUAUUAUCCCCAGUUCUGUUUUAUGGAGACGACCCACAACUACCCAACUGUUUUUGCUGAAUUGUUCAGAUUCCCUGCAAACAGUCCUGGAUAACCUGGUUUCAUGACAUCAAUGGCUGGUUGAUAUGGGGAAACUAUUUCCAUGAUGAAGAGCAUCUGGAAGUCGAGGCAGGACUGGGACCAUCCCCAGAGGAGUGUGGAGCCUGGGAAACCAACCCUGCCACCAGCCUUUUCUCUCUCUUCUUUCCCUUUCCACCCAUUUUUAUUCGGGUAAAAACUGGUUCAAAAGAAAAAAGAGACUGUCUUAGAGGCCUUUUUUUUUUUUUGUAUGUAGCCAGAGGGAUGUGGAAGUGCCUGUGUGUGCUAGGAUUGCAUGUCUGUAAGUUCCUUUGCUGUCUAAGACCAUCUGUCUUCUCUUUGACCCCCUGUUUUCCCCACUCCAGCUCUGCACCUUACCCCAUGGUUGAUCCAACCCCAAGGUUCACCUCUUCUGGGGCAGCAGCUCUUUUUUCUUACGUUACUGGUUACUUCACCAGGAAGGGGUGAAGGGGAAAGUUAAAUGAGGUUUCUAGUCUAGAUGAUCCAGUUAUCACAUUGUGAGUAUGUGAUUGAGUAGGAUUAUUAGAGUAUAAAAUCAAAGUAAAUUCCAAGCCAGUUUUCUAAUAGGUUUUGACAUAGGAAUGGCUCUUUCAAGAACUUUGGCAAUUCUAUAGCAAUGUGAUGAGUACAAUCUGGCCCACUGUCCCUUAACCUGGCUGGUUCCAGCUGCCCCUCAGGGCAGUCAUCAGGGAUGACUUUUUCUCUCUUUGCCCUCUGAUUUGUGUUCCUUCUGGUUGUGUUUCCUCCAUUUAUUAGGGGAUCAGUGAUUAGCACCGCAAAAUUAUUUAUCCCUGCAACAUCAAUUGACUUUUAUAAAGAGUAUUUACUUCAAAGAGAUAGUAAGAACAAAUGUGUAAGCUUUCCCCCCAAUACUUCCAAUGCUUAUUCUCGCCUAUACCACCUCAGUGUUUGGGGGAGUAGGCUCAAAAUUUUGCUCAGUUCCUACAUAGUAUAGGCCCCACCAAAUUCAAGUUCACUGCAGGUUAAGUUCUUCCAACAGGCUGAGACCCUAAAGGUUACUCGCAAAGGUCACUCCUUGCUCCUCAGGGCACUGCUACUAUGCUGGCUAUAAAACACAGGUUGGAUUCUGAUGCUUAGAUUGCUAUGGCUCUCUCUUCUGACCAAAAAUUGCAAUGAAUGAAAACACCAAGGACCG